rnacentral:rRNA from 1 species
GUACACUCCUGCGGGAGGCAGCAGUGGGGAAUAUUGGACAAUGGGCGCAAGCCUGAUCCAGCCAUGCCGCGUGAGUGAUGAAGGCCCUAGGGUUGUAAAGCUCUUCCACCGGUGAAGAUAAUGACGGUAACCGGAGAAGAAGCCCCGGCUAACUUCGUGCCAGCAGCCGCGGUAAUACGAAGGGGGCUAGCGUUGUUCGGAUUUACUGGGCGUAAAGCGCACGUAGGCGGACUAUUAAGUCAGGGGUGAAAUCCCGGGGCUCAACCCCGGAACUGCCUUUUAUACUGGUAGUCUUGAGUUCGAGAGAGGUGAGUGGAAUUCCGGGUGUAGAGGUGAAAUUCGUAGAUAUUCGGAGGAACACCAGUGGCGAAGGCGGCUCACUGGCUCGAUACUGACGCUGAGGUGCGAAAGCGUGGGGAGCAAACAGGAUUAGAUACCCUUGUAGUCCCA